GUAAUUUAAUAAAUAAACUUAAAACAAAAGAAAAUAAAAAGCAUGUGUCUUCUUCAUUUCUAUCUUCAUCACCGAACAGGAAAUGGAAAACUUCAUUGUUGGCUUCAUAAGCUUCAGCCAAGCCUGAUUCUUCAUGCAUGGUUAGUGUUUUUUAUACCAUUUUUAAUAAAUUUUAUGUUUUUUAGCUCAUAUUAGCUUAAUCUAGUUAGCCCAGGGGUUAAAUUGUAAAAUUGAUAGAUGUUUAGGGAUUUUCCAUGAACGAGUUGCAUGUGUCUAUGAAUUUAAUUGAUAAAUUACUAAGCUUGGUUGUUAAAUAGAAGUAUUUUAUUAAGUGUUUUUUAGUAAUUUUAAUGUUAAAAGGAUUAAUUUGUUAAAAGAGUAAAAUUCAUGGGAUUUAAUGUGAAAUUUUUUACGAGUAUAGGUUGUUUAUGAAUUCUAUAAAAAUCGGCUAACAUGAAUUUUGGCUGAAAAUGGUAAAUUUACAAGUUUCAGGAUUAGGGACUAAAUUGCAAAAAAGGUAAACUUUGAGGGUAAUUUUGUAAAUUUUCAUUUAUAGGGGUUAUAAGCAAAAUUAAUUAUUUUAAAUUCUGGAACGAGAAUAAUUGAAUAAAAAUAUUUAUCUAGAUCAAGAACAACUCGAACAGACACAAAUCGUGGAAAAGUCAAAGUAGCGGAAUAGUGGUUGGUUCGUGUUAAGAAGUCAUUUAUGAGUUCAAGUAAGUUAGUAACUUAGUUAAUUCAAUUAGUUACUGUUUCGAUAAUUUUAAUAUCUAUUUGUGUAUAUAUGUGAAUCAAAUUUGUUGGUUUGAAGGAAUUGAUUAACACCAUAGUUGAAACACACUAUGGCAUUAUACCGGAAUUAAAUAAUACCAUAGUUGAAAGAAACUAUGGCAUCAUACCGAAAACGAGUAAGACCAUGGCUGAAAGAUGUUAUGGCAUCCCGAUUUUAACGAGUAAAACCAUAGUUGAAAGACGUUAUGGCAUCACAAUUCUAACAAGUAAGACCAUAGCUAAAAGACACAAUGGCAUCAUGAACCAGACGGAUAAGACCACGGUUGAAAGACAUUAUGACAACACGACAUAAAAUGAAUAAGACCAUGGUUGAAAGACACCAUGGCAUUCUUCAACCAUUCACUAUUCAGGUAACAUGUUUCGGUUGAGAUAUCUAUUAUUAGUAUGAAUAUGAGAUGAAUGUUUUGACUAGUAUAGUUUAUUAAUGAAUAUUUACACUUUGGUGUGACUAUGUGUUUCAUAUGUUUAUAAAUAUGUUAAUUAGUGAUGUUUGUGGUGUGUUUAGGGAAUUAAAUGGUUACAUGAGUGUUUUCUGAGUAGUCGGUGUUAUUCCAUUUGGUUUAACGAGUAAAUAAAGCUUAAAUGAGUAUAUGAAUAUAUGAAACGAAUCAUGAUUUUGGAUAAUAAAAUGGAUUAUAAUGAUAUGUGUAAUUGCAAGGAAAAUAUGGUUUAUUGUACAUGUAUAAGUGAUGAUUUAUGAAAAGGAGAUGUCGACAUGUUAUAUAACAUGUUUUGUUGGAAUUAUAUGUACAUUGCUCCAGCAACUAAUCAUGUGAGGUGUUGUGUAUAGGAAAGGAAAUUGGGAUUGUGACUAAACUAAAUUAUGCUUGAUUGUCUAAUUUAAUGUAUUCGGUAAGUUUAAGUUUCCUUUAUAUAAGCUUACUAAGCACUAGUUACUUACGUAGUUGUUUUUCUAUAUUUUAUAGAUAAUCGAAAAGCUCGAACGAUUGGAAUCAGCGUUGGAGCACAAUCACACUAUCCAUUGAUCCACUUUGGUAGCUUUUGGAUAUAUUGGCUAAUGGCUAUAAAUAGCAUGUGUAGGGUUGUAUGUUAAUUUGAUAUGUUUUGAAUUGUGCUAAGCUUUGAUAUGCCUCAAUAUCUUUUGUUAAUGGUUGUGCAUGGUCAUUUGAAAUUAGGGGAAAAAAUGGUUAAUUGAUAUAAAUGCUUUGGUAAGUAUAGGGCUUGUUUGUUACCUUGGUCAAUUGGUAAUGUUUUGAGUUGUGUCAAACUUAGGCAUGCUUAAUGCCUUUUGUUUUUAACUUGUAAAUGUCUAUAGCAUAAGUGUAUUAGGGUUUGAUGUUAAUGUGUUAUUUGGAAUGUAUUGAUUUUGCUUAUACCCAUUUAUAGAUAUAAAUGGUUUGGUUUGGUUUAUUUAUCCUUAAACACUUUGGAGCAUGUUCCUUUUUAGUUAUAUCUAAGUAAAUUGGUAAGUUGAUGGUGUAGCCUAAAGAGAAGUGGUCAUUUUGUGUCUAUAUUAUAAAGUUGAAAUGUGAUAUUGAAUCUUUGUUCAUGUGUGAUAUUGUUGACUGAAAUGUGAUACCUUUGACUAGCAUAUUGGCUAGGACAUAUAGGAUGGUUGAUUAAUUGACAUGUUUUAUAUGUGUUUAAGUUGUAAUUAGGUCAUAUGAAUG
rnacentral:lncRNA from 1 species